AUGGGGGUGGUGGAUUGGAUCAUGGAUUACCACGUGGGACAUGAUUCUCGUGGGAUUUUGACUAGUGGAGAGGAUAGUGGAUGAUAAUGAGGGUCAUGGUCCAUACCAUAUAUGUUGGUGGAUUAGGUUGAUGGUAGGGUGACAUGGCAUUGACGUAGAGGGUGGUGGUGGUCAUUUGGGUCACGACCACACCACAUAGCCUUAUGAGAACUUACUUUCAUAAGCUUGAUUGGGAACUAUAUGCUUCUAAGACAUGGGAACUUGCUUCCAUGUGGCUAAACUGGGGCAACGUUUGAUGUUUAGUAGCCUUUUUUUUUUCUUAAUGACGAAUUUCAUUAAAACCCAAUAGCAAGACGCCAGGGGCAACAACAACAAAAAUUUAAACUAAGAACUCAAAUUACACCAAUCCAACCAAGAAAGGGACCUUAGAGGAGAACAAUUUUUAAUCCAAAGAAAGCCGAGGGAUUUGAUGUCUUCCAAGAUCAUGGCCACUUCCAGUCCUCCGCCGAUUUGUUUGAGAAAAGCUUGUCAUUAUUAGUCAUCCAAAUGCACAAGCAAGCCACCAUUAUGAUUCCGUGAAGGACUUUCCUCUUAGGACGGUUUAAAGGAGCCGUUUUAUGAAUUUCUAGACGGUCCCGAGCCAAAAAGACAAAAAUAGGAGGAAUACCCCUCCAAGUGCUAAUACUCACUCCGCACGACUAGCUAUAUAGAGAAAAGUCACACAACCAUGUCCAUUGAACUGAAAUUCAAAAAAUUUGCACAAAGCAUCACCCGAAUAUGUGAUGGAACUUUGCAUAGUUGUGUAUUAUGAGCCAAUUUAGAAAAGUGUGUCGUGUUUGUAAAGUUUCAGUUUGGUUAUAGAAUCUCUCUGUGUACUCAUUCUAGCUUUGAUAAUGUGUUAAGGUAUAUACUUUCAAGAAAAAACACCAAAAUGAGAGCAAUGAGUCUUGGUCUUGGCCACUCUUUGGGAUAAAUUGAGCAGGUAUUGUAGUUGGUUUAUCAUGAUGUAACCUACAAAAACAUUAUCUUUUGAACCAUGUUUGGUCACCACUUAAACCUCACAUUGGUCGUAAAUAAUAUGGCAAACCCUUUUUGAAAAGUCUUACGCUACCAUGUUAGAUGUUGAAAAGUUAGGAUGCUAAUCAAACGACUUGAUAUUUUUAUUGCAUGAAUUCAUAAAAUAUCGGUUUCACAUACUUGAUCCGUGUUCAUUUCUAUUUCUAUUCUCUUAUAGACAGAUAACUAAUCAUUUUAUUUGUCAUAUAAUAUGGUUUCAAUACCCACGGAUGUGAAUUGCCUCAUCAUGGAACGAAUAAUCGAAAUAAGAAUGUAUUAAUUUAAAAUAAAUUAAGUGUUUAAAUAAAAAUCAAUUCAAAACUAAAAAACAACUGCCCCCAUGCAGGAUCGAACUACAGACCUCCAGUUUACAAGACUGGCGCUCUACCACUGAGCUAUAGGGGCUGAUGGUUUACUUAUGCAAUAUUAUUAUUCAUAAUCAUUAGAUAAUUAAACUAUUAUAAUUAAAAUGUUAAAAAAUGGGGUGAGAGAGGCUCGAACUCUCGACCUCAGGAUCACUCAGAUUGCUAUGAGACCUACGCGCUAGCCAACUGCGCCACCACCCCAUGUGUAUGCUCUGCUCUAUUUUAAUUCUAAAAACGUUAGUAUAAUAAGUAUGUUCCAAUCAAAUAAAGUAGUUUUUAGUUAUUUUUGUAUUCAAAUCUUAUGGUUUUUUUUUACAAGUAUGUUCCAAUCAAAUAAAGUAGUUUUUUUUUAGAUUAGAGCAUCGGAAACGUUUGGAAGUAAGACGUGUACUAUAUUACUGUAUUUCACUAAUCGGCUAUCACUAUAGGACAAACUUAGAAAAUAUGAGUACAACAUGUGAAAAAAAAACAGGAAGACUACUUCUAUCAGAAAACUAUAUCAUAUUCAUCAAGAUUCCAUUUUGAUGGAUCCAUACAGGUUGAAAAGAUAAUAGAAUCCGCUUAAUCCAUAUGUGACUAAAGAUUUUUAGUUGUUUAUACUUUCAAAAGUAUCAAAAUUAGUAGAUUUGUGAAAAUUGAAUAUACGUUAGAGUGUGAGUUAUAAGAUUAAACAAAACGUCAAAACUAUCGAAGUAUGAAGCUUAAAUUGUAUUCUACAAACGUAUGGGACGAUUUAAAAUGGGUAAACUGAACACAUCUCAUUUAUCAAUUUUCAAACUCGAAGUGUCAAGAUCUAGCUAGUUCCAUUUAUACAAAGUUUAUUUCGUAUAAAUAUUAUUUAUUUUAAUAUUGUAGAAAGAAGACUAAGUCGCCUCCUCUUGUGGUGGAGAGUUAUAGGAGAAUGGGUCUUGAAAGAUACUACUUGUCGUGUGAGAAACUUUAUGCGUGUUGGUUAAGGCAUUCAAGGUGCACAAAUAUCCACUUUUUGGUCAAGGUAAAUGCCAAAAUUUUAAUUUUAUAUAAAUAUAAAUAAUGAGUAAUCCUAUAUUCCUAUUUAUAUAGUCUUAAAACAAAAGGUCGGUGGGGUUUCCCACCGACCAUUCUAACCCCUGAACUUUUGACAAAUGACAAUUUAACCCUAAACUUCUAAUUCAUUUUAAAACUUCUGGUUUUUUCACUUCCCUAAACUUUUGACAAAUGACAAUUUCAACUCUAGAAUCAUAUUAAAACUUUUGGUUUUUUUCACUUCACAUCCUUAAACUUUUGACAUGAAACACUAUUAACCCGCAUCUUUAAGUAAGUUACACACUUAUAACUUUUGGUAAUUGACAACUUUGACCCAUCAACCUGUUAAACUUAAUGACUUGACACCUUAUUUUAUUUAAAUUACUUUUAUGACUUUAUACUGUAACGUGGGACACAUUAUUAUACUUUUUUAUAUCUAUGCCUAACCAAGUUAAUGUCUAAAUUACUUUUACGACCGCAAUGAUCGAGACAUACUCUAUUUUUUAUCUAUGUUUAAUGACAUUACAAAGUAAAAAACGCAUAAUGUCACGCGCGGGCACCACACAUUAAUGUCAUCGUCGUACGCUGUAACCGCAAUGCUUAUAUAGAUUACACUGAGUUAGAUCGGAUACGUCGAAACACACGUUUUCAUAUAGUUAACGCAUCACAUAACGUGCUGUCAGCUAUAAACAACUAAGGCGUCGCCGCCACAACGCGCGGCUUGUGGCAGUAAUCUAGUUAUUCUCAUUAAUUAAUAAAAGUACCCCCUAUAAAUGAAUUCUAGACAUGUGUCUAGUAGAAAUCAUUUUUUAUGUGUAUAUUCAUAUAAAAAAAACUAAAACAAUAGUAAAUAAGUUAACACAAAGGCUAC
rnacentral:tRNA from 1 species